GCAAACUUGGUCAUUUAGAGGAAGUAAAAGUCGUAACAAGGUUUCCGUAGGUGAACCUGCGGAAGGAUCAUUAACGAGUUUUGAAAUGGGUUGUAGCUGGCCUUCCGAGGCAUGUGCACACCCUGCUCAAUCCACUCUACACCUGUGCACUUACUGUGGGUUUCAGAGGUGAAGCGGGCUUCCUGGCCUUUGCUGAGUUUCUGGGCCUACGUCUUAUUACAAACGCUUCGGUUUUUAGAAUGUUUAUUGUGAUGUAAUGCAUCUAUAUACAACUUUCAGCAACGGAUCUCUUGGCUCUCGCAUCGAUGAAGAACGCAGC
rnacentral:misc_RNA from 1 species